GACCAAUCACUGUGACGUUAUUUUGAAGUCUUUGAUUUCAGAGACUCACAGUCAAGACUGACUUUCCAGAAUGUCUCGGGAGCAGCUGGCUGUUUUGUUGACAUCAUCUUCAGUGUGGCAUGUGAUUAAAUUAAAGUUUAAAGGUAAUGCUGCAUAGAGGGAGUGAAUCAGAUGUGCUACCCACCCCAUACAACAGAGAAGUUACGAUGGGCCUGUGUUUUUCUCUUGAAGCAAGUUAAUCUGGUUCGGUGGCGUCAGAUGGCACAGGUUGCUGUGCUUGCUGCACUGGUGGCCUUUGUGGUGCAGGUGAUUAAGCAAAUGCAGUGGAGGAGUGACUGUUAAUGAUGUCUUGAUGCAUUACAUUGUCGAUAUCUUACUUUAUGGAGGUGAAGGUAAGCCAACCAAUAAGACAUAAAGACACUCAGGACAAGUAAUGGUAAGGAGGAAUUUGUAUUGUAUUACAUUUGUAUUUGUAUUACAUUACAUUUGCAUUCCUAAGCAAGAUACUUAAUCAUUUUAAAGAUCAUUUUAGGGAAGAAAACCUUAAAAAUGUUUUUUAGGAAAAACACACAGAUUCCUAUGGAAAAAGACCAUAUAACACUGAAAUUUAAUGGGCAUCCAAGGUGAAAUUCAAUGCAUUACCACUUCUGUGUUUCCGAAGUAUUGUUCCAUUGUCAUUUUUCCAUAUUCAUGCAUUUUAUGUCAUGGUUUUAUACAGUUUGUUCAGAAAUAGCAUGUGAAUGAGCUUUCUGUUGCGGUUUAUCUAUUUUGUCAAUGAGUAUUUUCCAACAGACUGUCGUUUGGAUCAAGCUUUGUUUAAUUACUGACUUUCCAUUCCUGUAACAAUGCAUGAUUGUUCAUAAUCAGUGUUCCUUCCCACUUCCACAGGAGACUCCCUCUGCCUACAAUGCUGCUCGAGUUUUUCUUGAAUAAUAUGUUUGUACAAAUAAUUAAUAUUUCACUUACAUUUUCUUUUCAAACUUUUUCAGUACACUAGCAGUAUAUUUUAAUUUAAACUUCUAAAUACAAUUAAUAAGGCAUGUUUGUAUGGGCUUUUCUACUCAUGUAAAGAAUUUGAGCUGUUGAACUGCUGAACUGUACAGAAUCUUCACAUUUAGAUCUUCUAAAUGGACAAGUUAGCAUUAUUUCUGUGAUGCAGCAGUACAAUGCAAGCGUUGUUCUUCUUUAUGUGGUGGGCUUUAUGGAGAGCUUUAGCACAUGAGACUUCAUCUACAUUUAUGAUGACAAAUGUUCACUAAUUUAAAUGACGUCAACAAAUAAUGCUUAUUAGCACCUUAACAAAAAUGUUGAUCAAAUGUUGAUUCAGUGAUGUUUUCGAAAUGCUUUAUUAUUGUCUUACAACAAAUUUAAUAAGCUUUCAUAUAAUUUAAAUUUAAAGACAAAAAAUACCGCUGUAGUGAAUUCACUUUUGUUGUUGUUGAUAUCUAUCAUUUGAUAUAAUUAGUCAUUUCUAGUCUAAACAAUGAUUAUCAAAGCAACUAUAAUAUUAGACUACAGAUAUCUCUGUAUAAUGUAUUCAUCUUUUAUAAUCUAUUCAUCUUGAUUUAACUGUAUAUGUAUCAGUUUCAGUAUUAUUGUUGAGAUUACAAUAGCCUGAUACAAUUGGAUCCCGUUUUAAAUUCAUAUCUACAACUGCCCUCAAUAUCCAGCAGAUGGCGCUCUCUUAUAAUUGAACAUCUCCUAUAAAGCCUGGAUGUCUGCACCUUCAUCAGUGAGAUGUUGGCUUAAUUAAAUCAACAAAAUAAAACUGUUAUUAUUAGUGAUUUUUAGUCCUACUGCUGCUCAACACCUAAUACCUUAAAUGAACAUAAAACUAUGUUAAUUGUAUUAUUGUUUGAACUCAAUAUUGGGUUUGGUGUGACAUAUCUCCCCAGGCGUCUGUCUGUCAAAAAGCCAACACAUAUUCCUCCAUGUGUUAUUUUUUUCAGCUUUACAUUUGCUGUUACACAAUCUAUCUGACUUACACAGGUAGUACAUAUUUAUUCACAUAGCUGACAGCAAAUAUACACAUCUACUGUAGUUUGUCAAGCUCAAUACAUUAGUCAGGCAAAAUGUUGAUAUAUGAUGAUAUUAACUUCUCCGAACUUGCAGAAUUGAGUAUUUCUCAGUAAAUAAAGCUAUUAUUGCUGUUUAGGAAUUUAAAGAUUAACAAAAUGCCACUGAAAUGAUAAUAGUUUGACAGUAGGGUCUACAGUAUUUAGCAGGGUUCACCACAUUCCAUGACAGAUUCCAUGCAUUACUGCCUGAAGGGGCGUUCACACAGACAGCCAUUUAAUUGUUAGAGGUCAUCAACUCACUGUACUGUUGCUAGUGUGCAUUCCUGCCUGACUGCUGUAUCCAGCAGUGAUAUGUGUGCAUUCUCAUUGGGAGUCACUUAAUGUCAUUACUGCACAUUCACAUAAACUCCAACUCUGUUCAACCUGCAUCACUAAAGGUUUUUAAGAAGCCCCUGUUCAUUCAACUUUUCAUUUAUCAAAGAAUCCUGGAAAAAAAAUGUAUAAUGGUUUCCCCUGUUUUCAACAUUAUUAAUGUUUCAGAUGUUUCAAAUCAGCAUUUUAGAAUGAUUUCUGAAGGAGCAUGUGACACUGAAGACUGGAGUAAUGAUGCUGAAAAUUCAGCUUUGCCAGCACAGGAAUAAAUGACAUUUUAAAAUAUAUUAAAAUAGAUAUUUCAGAAUAGAUAUUGAUAUUUCAGGAUAUUGCCGUUUUUACUAUAUUUUUGAUCAGAUAAAUGCAGCCUUGGUGAGCAGAAGAGGCUUCUUUAAAAACAUUAAAAAUCUUCCCAAUCCCAAACUUUUGAAUGAUAGUGCAUACUUGAAUAGGGAAAAACGCACAAAUGAUACUGUAACUAGACCAGCAUUAAUACAUAUGUUUUUAUAAAUAUCAUAACUCCAUUGAGAUUAUGUUUUCCAAUGCAAAAUCCUCAUCUAGUUGCUAUGUUUUAGCAAUCGUGGCCCUCUGGAUCUGUAUCACUUUCUGUCAUCUGUCCUCUCAUCUAGUCUGUGUAAAAAAGAAAGAAAGAAAGAAAUUGAAGGCAAAUCUCUCCUUAGUCUCACGGCUCCAGUGUUUCAGUUUCCAUGGAAACACAUUAACCCCUAACCUUGGCAUGUUAGGUGGCUAUGAAUGUGAGCACUAAGUGACUGCUCCUCCCACGCCAUGCCUGCUUUUUUUUUUUAUUCUCAAUGCCAUUCAAAUACACUUUUACCCUCUGUGUUUGCUUUCUUGUCUCCGUCAACAGAUUGUUGGGAACCAUAUGACUAAUCGACUGGCACUAAAUGUAAAAUCUUGUAUAUAAUCACACAAGUUCAGCUGACUUUCGACAUUCCAGAUAUUGCAGUUGCUUCUCAACAGGCUGUCCUUCAGGUACCCAAAUUUUACAUUGGACGUAAUGUACAUCUAAUCUGAACAUGUAGACAAGAAAACAAAAAAUUAAAAGCAGUGAAAAAAUGCUAUUUUAAUUAUGCAUUGUUGCUUGCAUAGUUCACAAAAAAUAAAAUUAAAAUUUGCUAAAACUAUUGCUACUCUCAGGCCAUCUAAGAUGUAGACAAGUUUGUUUUCUUAGUGGAAAAGAUUCUUAUGAAGCAAAAAAGCUGCAUGUUUGUAAUAGAUCCAUCAAGACAUUAUUAACUUCAAACAAGUCCUAUAUCCAUAAUAUUGCAUUCUUCUGCAAAAAGAUUGUCUCUUUUGAAUCAGGAGAGAAAUAUGCACAGAUCAAGUACCAUUUAUAAGCAAAAACAGUUCUAUACAAAUACGUUGGUGAUGUGAGAGGACGACAGGGGAUGGACUUUAUCACUGGAGGAAGCAUUAUUUAUUAAGGAUUCACCUUUUGGCCAAAAGUGACAGUCUAAAUAUAUUUAUUAUGGCUUUGUUUCUUAUAAACACAGUUUUUUGCUUCACAAAACAAUUGAUGGACUGGAGUCGUUUGGAUUAUUGUGAUGUUUUAUCAGCUGUUUGGACUCUCAUUCUGACGGCACCCAUUCACUGCAGAGGAUCCACUGGUAAGCAAGUAAUAUAAUGCUAAAAUUCUCCAAAUCUGUUCAGACAAAGAAACAAACUCAGGCUGGUCUCAGCAUGAGUAAAUUUUCAUUUUUUGCAUGACUUUAAUAAUUUCUUUAAUUAUUAGAACAGACCUGCGACCCACCAGUUGGAGACCCCUGCUCUAUUGUGUAUGUACAAAUACUGUUUCCUUCAAUUAAAACACCUUUGCUGACAGGCUGAAGAAUUUCCUAAUUUUAAUCUUACUUUGAUCAUUAUUGUGAGGAAUCACAUGCUGUUUAGACGGCUGCGAAGGCCCAGCUGGUCCAGGUUACUUCCGUCUCACUUCCUCUUCCUGCUGUGAGCUGCUUUCUCAUACUGUCCUGUUAUAAUAUGUAAACAGAGCUUUAUUCAAAAGAAUCAAGGAUUGAGUUUCACUGUAAACAAGCAGCAACUUGAUAUAUAUGAGGAGUUGUAUCCAUAGGCAUUCCCUCCCAGCUCACUUUAAAUCACUUUCAUGGGGGAAUUAGUGAAAAAAUAGUUUUUUUCUUUAACCUACAGUCUCUCUUUUUCUCUUUCUCCUCCGCACACAUCUUCUUCUAACUAACCUUGCUCUGCAGAGGCUUCAUGUAAAGGGAAGCUGUUACUUGUUGAGAUCCUGGUAGUAUCCAACUUGGCACAUUUACACCUAGAAAGAUAACAAAGACAACUGUAUUAGAAUC
ensembl:lncRNA